UUACCGUUAUUUGGAUAAAAAUUAACGUGAUUUGUCAAAAUCAGUCGGUUUUUCUCGUCUAAAAGAAAGUUUACAUUUUAUCGUCAUGCACUAAAAAUUACUGCUAGCGUCAUUUGGCAAAAUUUUUUACUGUUAUACAACAUGAAGGUAUCCUCAUUACUACCCUCAUAGAUUCUGCCAAUGUUUUUUUUGCUACCAUGUCGAUCCAGCCCCACCUCAUUCUGGCUCAAGUUGAUCCCGCCCAUUUUCCAUUAAGUGCCAUAUUUAAAGUGGAUCCUGUACCAAUUAAGAAAUAUAUUUAUAAGGAUUGGAAUAAUAACGAAUAUAUAUAUUAACUGUAAUUCAUAAAUGUUUUUACAUUUUAUAAUAAUGUAAAAGGUGUACGGUAAAAAAGAUUGUCCACAAUUUAAAAAAAUGUUGUGACUAUAAAAACACAUGUGUAGUAGUCUCAGAUGUUACUCGAAAAACAAAAAAUACAACUAAUUAUUAUAACAUCAAAUAAAAAGAUCAAACUAAAUUGAAUAAAGACCUUGUUGAUUACCUUACUUUUGUCAAUCAGAAUUUGUAUUGAAUAGACAACUUUCGAGUUCGAUGCAUUUCCGUCAAAAACUCUGGUUUUAGUGAACGUCAUUUGUGCGUUUAGGGGCGUCGUCACUUCCGUUUCAAUGUUGAGCGAGUGGUUGGAAAACUAUAAUCCUAUAUUGUACGAAUUAUUCAGCAAAUUAAAUUCUCAAAAUUGACAAUCAGCACUGCUGUCAUUAGGGAAUUGUCAUUAAGUACCUACAGAACAACCAUUAUUUCUAGUUUAUCCUGCACAAAGACGAUCACUAAGAUGCUUGAUGAACGUAAAUAGUACAGGAAUACAGGCGAUCCCCUCUAUCUGGUAAAUGACGUCAUAAAGGC
rnacentral:lncRNA from 1 species